UACAGAGGAUGCAAGCGUUAUCCGGAAUGAUUGGGCGUAAAGCGUCUGUAGGUGGCUUUUUAAGUCCGCCGUCAAAUCCCAGGGCUCAACCCUGGACAGGCGGUGGAAACUACCAAGCUGGAGUACGGUAGGGGCAGAGGGAAUUUCCGGUGGAGCGGUGAAAUGCGUAGAUAUCAUUUGGAACGCCAAUGGUGAAAACAGGUAGCUGGGGCUGUGCUGACACUGAGACACGAAAGCCAGGGGAGCAAACGGG
rnacentral:rRNA from 1 species